GCCAGUAUAGCUUAGUUGGUAAAGCAAUCCCUUCAUACGGGAGAGAGCGAUGGUUCGAGUCCAUCUAUUGGUA
rnacentral:tRNA from 1 species